rnacentral:misc_RNA from 1 species
AACGCACAUUGCGCCCCUUGGUAUUCCAUGGGGCAUGCCUGUUCGAGCGUCAUUUGUACCCUCAAGCUCUGCUUGGUGUUGGGUGUUUGUCCCGCUUUACGUGUGGACUCGCCUUAAAGCCAUUGGCAGCCGGCAUAUUGUCUCGGAGCGCAGCACAUUUUGCGCUUCUUGCCUUUAAUGUUGGUAUCCAGUAAGCCUUUACAUUUGCUCUUGACCUCGGAUCAGGUAGGGAUACCCGCUGAACUUAA